rnacentral:misc_RNA from 1 species
ACGUGUUUUGAACCUCACGGUUCUUCAUUCCAAAGCUGUGCGCUUUCGGGCUGCACGCGGAGGAAAGCACUCUUCCACACCUGUGCACAUACACGGUGGUGGGCUUAACUGCCCGCCGCCGAUUUAUCACAUACAUCUUAUUAGUCUUGAGUGUAAACCUAUAAAAAAAAUA